rnacentral:rRNA from 1 species
UACGAAGGGGGCUAGCGUUGCUCGGAAUCACUGGGCGUAAAGCGCACGUAGGCGGACUCUUAAGUCGGUGGUGAAAUCCUGGAGCUCAACUCCAGAACUGCCUUCGAUACUGAGAGUCUCGAGUCCGAGAGAGGUGAGUGGAACUGCGAGUGUAGAGGUGAAAUUCGUAGAUAUUCGUAAGAACACCAGUGGCGAAGGCGGCUCACUGGCUCGGUACUGACGCUGAGGUGCGAAAGCGUGGGGAGCGAACGGG